rnacentral:misc_RNA from 1 species
GAUGAAGAACGUAGCGAAAUGCGAUAAGUAAUGUGAAUUGCAGUAUUCAGUGAAUCAUCGAAUCUUUGAACGCACAUUGCGCCCGCCAGUAUUCUGGCGGGCAUGCCUGUCUGAGCGUCAUUUCAACCCUCAUGCCCCUAGGGCGUGGUGUUGGGGAUCGGCCAAAGCCCGCGAGGGACGGCCGGCCCCUAAAUCUAGUGGCGGACCCGUCGUGGCCUCCUCUGCGAAGUAGUGAUAUUCCGCAUCGGAGAGCGAUGAGCCCCUGCCGUUAAACCCCCAACUUUCCAAGGUUGACCUCAGAUCAGGUAGGAAUACCCGCUGAACUUAAGCAUAUCAAUAAGCGGAGGA